AACGAACGCUGGCGGCAGGCUUAACACAUGCAAGUCGAACGCCCCGCAAGGGGAGUGGCAGACGGGUGAGUAACGCGUGGGAACAUACCCUUUCCUGCGGAAUAGCUCUGGGAAACUGGAAUUAAUACCGCAUACGCCCUACGGGGGAAAGAUUUAUCGGGGAAGGAUUGGCCCGCGUUGGAUUAGCUAGUUGGUGGGGUAAAGGCCUACCAAGGCGACGAUCCAUAGCUGGUCUGAGAGGAUGAUCAGCCACAUUGGGACUGAGACACGGCCCAAACUCCUACGGGAGGCAGCAGUGGGGAAUAUUGGACAAUGGGCGCAAGCCUGAUCCAGCCAUGCCGCGUGAGUGAUGAAGGCCUUAGGGUUGUAAAGCUCUUUCACCGAUGAAGAUAAUGACGGUAGUCGGAGAAGAGGCCCCGGCUAACUUCGUGCCAGCAGCCGCGGUAACAC
rnacentral:rRNA from 1 species